rnacentral:ncRNA from 1 species
CAACGGUUUACCAAUACGUUGGUGAUUAAAAGGGAAUCGGGUGGAAAUCCCGAACAGUCCCGCUGCUGUAAGCCGUCUUUAUCGGGGCAAACGAUAUGCCACUGGAGUAAUAUCCGGGAAGGUGUUUGCCACCAGACGACAAAGUCAGAAGACCUGCCGUUUGCAG